rnacentral:rRNA from 1 species
UACGAAGGGGGCUAGCGUUGCUCGGAAUCACUGGGCGUAAAGCGCACGUAGGCGGACUCUUAAGUCAGGGGUGAAAUCCUGGAGCUCAACUCCAGAACUGCCUUUGAUACUGAGAGCCUUGAGUUCGGGAGAGGUGAGUGGAACUGCGAGUGUAGAGGUGAAAUUCGUAGAUAUUCGCAAGAACACCAGUGGCGAAGGCGGCUCACUGGCCCGAUACUGACGCUGAGGUGCGAAGGCGUGGGGAGCGAACGGG